AACGAACGCUGGCGGCAUGCCUAACACAUGCAAGUCGAACGAGACCUUCGGGUCUAGUGGCGCACGGGUGCGUAACGCGUGGGAACCUGCCCUUAGGUUCGGAAUAACUCCCCGAAAGGGGUGCUAAUACCGGAUAAUGUCUUCGGACCAAAGAUUUAUCGCCUUUGGAUGGGCCCGGGUUGGAUUAGCUAGUUGGUAGGGUAAAAGCCUACCAAGGCGACGAUCCAUAGCUGGUCUGAGAGGAUGAUCAGCCACACUGGGACUGAGACACGGCCCAGACUCCUACGGGAGGCAGCAGUGGGGAAUAUUGGACAAUGGGCGAAAGCCUGAUCCAGCAAUGCCGCGUGAGUGAUGAAGGCCUUAGUGUUGUAAAGCUCUUUUACCCGGGAUGAUAAUGACAGUACCGGGAGAAUAAGCUCCGGCUAACUCCGUG
rnacentral:rRNA from 1 species